rnacentral:rRNA from 1 species
GGGUGACUGCGUACCUUUUGUAUAAUGGGUCAGCGACUUAUAUUCUGUAGCAAGGUUAACCGAAUAGGGGAGCCGUAGGGAAACCGAGUCUUAACUGGGCGAAUGAGUUGCAGGGUAUAGACCCGAAACCCGGUGAUCUAGCCAUGGGCAGGUUGAAGGUUGGGUAACACUAACUGGAGGACCGAACCGACUAAUGUUGAAAAAUUAGCGGAUGACUUGUGGCUGGGGGUGAAAGGCCAAUCAAACCGGGAGAUAGCUGGUUCUCCCCGAAAGCUAUUUAGGUAGCGCCUCGUGAACUCAUCUUCGGGGGUAGAGCACUGUUUCGGCUAGGGGGUCAUCCCGACUUACCAACCCGAUGCAAACUACGAAUACCGAAGAAUGUUAUCACGGGAGACACACGGCGGGUGCUAACGUUCGUCGUGAAGAGGGAAACAACCCAGACCGCCAGCUAAGGUCCCAAAGUCAUGGUUAAGUGGGAAACGAAGUGGGAAGGCUCAGACAGCCAGGAUGUUGGCUUAGAAGCAGCCAUCAUUUAAAGAAAGCGUAAUAGCUCACUGGUCGAGUCGGCCUGCGCGGAAGAUGUAACGGGGCUAAACCAUGCACCGAAGCUGCGGCAGCGACAUGUAAAUGUUGUUGGGUAGGGGAGCGUUCUGUAAGCCUGUGAAGGUGUGCUGCGAGGCAUGCUGGAGGUAUCAGAAGUGCGAAUGCUGACAUAAGUAACGAUAAUGCGGGUGAAAAACCCGCACGCCGGAAGACCAAGGGUUCCUGUCCAACGUUAAUCGGGGCAGGGUGAGUCGACCCCUAAGGCGAGGCAGAAAUGCGUAGUCGAUGGGAAACAGGUUAAUAUUCCUGUACUGGUGAUAAUUGCGAUGGGGGGACGGAGAAGGCUAGGCUGGCCGGGCGACGGUUGUCCCGGUUUAAGGAUGUAGGUGGGUGAAUUAGGCAAAUCCGGUUCGCUAUACACUGAGGUCUGAUGACGAGUCACUACGGUGGCGAAGUAGCUCAUGCCCCGCUUCCAGGAAAAGCCUCUAAGCUCUAGAUUAUCAUUAAUCGUACCCCAAACCGACACAGGUGGUCAGGUAGAGAAUACUCAGGCGCUUGAGAGAACUCGGGUGAAGGAACUAGGCAAAAUGGUGCCGUAACUUCGGGAGAAGGCACGCUGGC